CGGACGGGUGAGUAACGCGUGGGUAACCUGCCUCACACUGGGGGACAACAGUUAGAAAUGACUGCUAAUACCGCAUAAGCGCACAGGACCGCAUGGUCCGGUGUGAAAAACUCCGGUGGUGUGAGAUGGACCCGCGUUUGAUUAGCUAGUUGGUGGAGUAACGGCCUACCAAGGCGACGAUCAAUAGCCGACCUGAGAGGGUGACCGGCCACAUUGGGACUGAGACACGGCCCAA
rnacentral:rRNA from 1 species